GACAGAGGUGGCAAGCGUUGUUCGGAAUCACUGGGCUUAAAGCGCGUGUAGGCGGCUCCGAAAGUGUCGUGUGAAAUCCCAGGGCUCAACCCUGGAACUGCGCGGCAAACUCCGGAGCUUGAGGCUGGUAGAGGUGCCUGGAACUCUCGGUGGAGCGGUGAAAUGCGUAGAUAUCGAGAGGAACGCCGGAGGCGAAAGCGGGGCACUGGGCCGGUUCUGACGCUGAGACGCGAAAGCGUGGGGAG
rnacentral:rRNA from 1 species